GCGGGUGUAGCGCAGCGGUAGCGCAACUGCCUUCCAAGCAGUCUGUCGUCGGUUCGAUCCCGACCACCCGCUCCA
rnacentral:tRNA from 1 species